AGGGUUUGAUCCUGGCUCAGAUUGAACGCUGGCGGCAGGCCUAACACAUGCAAGUCGAGCGGAAACGACACUAACAAUCCUUCGGGUGCGUUAAUGGGCGUCGAGCGGCGGACGGGUGAGUAAUGCCUAGGAAAUUGCCUUAAUGUGGGGGAUAACCAUUGGAAACGAUGGCUAAUACCGCAUAAUGCCUACGGGCCAAAGAGGGGGACCUUCGGGCCUCUCGCGUCAAGAUAUGCCUAGGUGGGAUUAGCUAGUUGGUGAGGUAAUGGCUCACCAAGGCGACGAUCCCUAGCUGGUCUGAGAGGAUGAUCAGCCACACUGGAACUGAGACACGGUCCAGACUCCUACGGGAGGCAGCAGUGGGGAAUAUUGCACAAUGGGCGAAAGCCUGAUGCAGCCAUGCCGCGUGUAUGAAGAAGGCCUUCGGGUUGUAAAGUACUUUCAGUUGUGAGGAAGGGUGUGUAGUUAAUAGCUGCGCAUCUUGACGUUAGCAACAGAAGAAGCACCGGCUAACUCC
rnacentral:rRNA from 1 species